GGAUUGAGAACAACGUACAAACCUUAUCGAUAAACAAUUGGAGGGCAAGUCUGGUGCCAGCAGCCGCGGUAAUUCCAGCUCCAAUAGCGUAUAUUAACGUUGUUGCAGUUAAAAAGCUCGUAGUUGAAAUGAAGGGUAGUUGUGUAAUGAAUACAUUCGUGUAUUUUGUUAUUCUACUACCCUCCUUCUAAAUUCGAUAUAUGAGUAUUAAUUUACUUGUAUAUGGUUUUAGACGUUUACUGUGAGAAAAUUAGAGUGUUCAAAGCAGGCAUUUGCUUGAAUAUAUUAGCAUGGAAUAAUCAUGUAUGAUUUUCAUGAUGUAUUUGAUUGGUUUGGUUCAUGAGAAUAAGAUUAAAAGGGACAGUUGGGGGUAUUCAUAUUCAAUAGUCAGAGGUGAAAUUCUCGGAUUUAUGGAAGAUGAACAAGUGCGAAAGCA
rnacentral:rRNA from 1 species